rnacentral:rRNA from 1 species
AGAUUGAACGCUGGCGGCAGGCCUAACACAUGCAAGUCGAGCGGUAGAGAGGUGCUUGCAUCUCUUGAGAGCGGCGGACGGGUGAGUAAUGCCUAGGAAUCUGCCUAGUGGUGGGGGAUAACGUUCGGAAACGGACGCUAAUACCGCAUACGUCCUACGGGAGAAAGCGGGGGACCUUCGGGCCUCGCGCCAUUAGAUGAGCCUAGGUCGGAUUAGCUAGUUGGUGAGGUAAUGGCUCACCAAGGCGACGAUCCGUAACUGGUCUGAGAGGAUGAUCAGUCACACUGGAACUGAGACACGGUCCAGACUCCUACGGGAGGCAGCAGUGGGGAAUAUUGGACAAGUGGGCGAAAAGCCGUAGAUCCAGCCAAUGCCGCGUGUGGUGAAGAAGGUCUUCGGAUUGUAAAGCAACUUUAAGUGGAGGAAGGUUGUAACCUAAUACGUUGCAAUUUGACGUUACGACAGAAUAAGCACCGCUAACUCGUGCCAGCAGUCGACG